GAAGCCUGUUUCAGAUGAGUAGAGAAAUCAUUUUCAAAGCCUUACCUUGCAGACAAACCUUUUCAUUAAAACUUUCCUAUAUGGCGUUAUUCUUUUCGUUAUUUACCGCGUCCAGAGGCCUUCCCACAUCGCCCGCAGCCUCGGCUGGAGAUCAUGAAGCAUUUCUGCCAUUGCAGAGACUGAUCCUGAACACUCACCUGGCUCACGAGUCCCCAUGAUUGCGUCAAUUACUGGAUCUAUAGAUCUUGCAAUGUGGUCGAGACCUGACUCCCAGCUGAUGACAGGGAGCCUGUCUGCUUCAAUGGGUGGAGAGAGCAAUGUGCAAGUAAUGCAACAGCUGGAGGCACUCUGAUUGAAAACCACAGGUUGACUAUGCCAGAAUAGGCAUAGUUUUUUGAAUGGGAACUUGUAGGAAGAAGAGUCCAGCGUCAGUGACAGCCCAUGUAGAGCGUAACAUUGUUCAGAGGGCAAGGUGUUGGCACUCAGCAUUGUGCUGGAAGUGAGAAGGUAGUGAGCCUCAAGAUACCUGAGAAGUGGACUGGAGGGGUAUAAAGGACAAUUUCAACAGAAUUACUCAUCCUGUGCACCAUAGUAAAAUGUUUAGGGGGGAAUUAACAUUUCAUCUUGCAAAUCUGCCAGCAGGAGAAUUUCAAAAUCGCCUCCUGCCAUAUCCAUCCUGUAAUGGUGCAGUACCCUAUUGACUUCAGCUAGUGUCUUUGGUUGGCUCAUUUUUCGGACUGUUUGAAUCGGACUGAAAACUGCAUCUGACCACAGUAUUCAGUCUGGUUCAAAAUCCGGAUAUGGUCAGGAAAAUUAACAGACUGCAGAUACUAGAUGAAUUCAGUUGGCUCAUUGAAAUCAAUAGGGUUUGGAGCUGACUACUGGGAUGUGGAAUGAGGCAGUUUUGAAAUUCUCCCGCCUUACACGAAUGUACCCCAAGACUGGCAUUUCAUAUGCUGGUCUUAAAGGGGUACUCCACUGCUCCAUCGUUCAAAACAUUUUGUUCCAAACACUGGAUGUGGGCUGCGGGGGUUGUAACAUCAUGGCCAUGCCCCCUCAAUGCAAGUCUAUGAGAGGGGGCGUGGUGUCCGCCAGGCCCCCUCCCAUAGCUUGCAUUGAGGAGGUGUAGCGUGACGUCACAAGCGGCAAGGCCGUGACGUCUGACUCCCGCAGCAUCACGUCACGACCCACCCAGCGUUCAGAACAGAAUGUUUCCGAAUACUGGGGCAGCAGAGUAUCCCUUUCAGUAAUCGCUCACCAGUUUACUACUGUACUGGCUUUGUCAAGAGGACGAUGACUCUUGAUAGAUUAAGUGCGUCUGAGGCUGCUGCUAACAUAGAUAUCCAAUCCAAUUUAUGUAUGCUAGCAUAUUUGGAUAGUAAAUAAGGUCUGUAAGGCAACCACACCCAAUUUACGCAAAUCCACGUCCCCUUCACACCAAGCCCCACCAACUUGUUGAGCGUGGUGCAGAUCUACAAAAAGUUCCAACACUAGUGCAAUUCUGAAAGAUACAUAAGGUGGGUGGCAUGUGAUAGAGAGGGGCUUCUCAGAGACCCUUAGCAGCAUGCUAGGACAAUUACUACCCAACUUGGUGUUAUCUUCAGUGAAAAAUUAGGUCCUGACCUUGGUUUAAGAACUGCUGAGGAAAUAAUAACCACUUUUGAAGAGGUCAUGCCACAAAAAGAUGGAUGGAUAGAUGGAUAGUUAGAUAGAUAGAUAGAUAGAUAGACAGACAGAAAGAUGAUAGAUAGAUAGAUCGAUAGACAGACUGACAGACAUCCCAAUCUCAUCCAAGACCAACACUGGAUAGAUAUAAGGUAGGAGGUAGAUAAAUAUACACAUAGAUAUGAGAUUGAUAGAUAGGAGAUAGAUAGAUAGAUAGAUAGAAAUGAGAUAGAUAAAUAGAUAGAUAGGAGAAGGACAGGAAUCCUAAUCUCAUUUGAAGCCAUCACUAUAUAGAUAAAAGGUGGGAGAUAAAUAAAUAGAUAUGAGAUAGAUAGAUGGAUAUCAGAUAGAUUAGAUAGAUAGAUAGAUAGAUGUAAGGGUCAUGGCAGGUGGUGGAUCCCCUGGACCUCUGUGGAUGAUGAUGUGAGCUGUGUCAGGGAGCAGAGUCUAAGGGGCCGCUGGUUUUCACCAGAGCCCGCCGCAAAGCGGGAUGGUCUUGCUGCGGAAGCAGGCACCCAGGUCGUUACCCCUGGCACGACUCAUCCACACAGGUUGCUGGGAUGAAGAAUAGUACAGAAGGAUAAAGACAAGACGUGGUCAGGAUAGCUGAAGGUCAGGGCAGGUGGCACAGUAGCAGGGUCAGGUCACAGAACAAGGAUCAGGUACACAGAUAAACAUGAACACUGGAACACAGAAUGCUUUCUCUAGGGCACUAAGGCAACAAAGAUCCGGCGGGGAGUCAUGGGAGGAACUGAUACUUAUAACAGAAGGUGCAGGUAAAUUCACUAAUUAAGGGCAUACUAACCCUUUAAAUGUAAGAGCUCCAGCGCCCUAGGAGGCAGGGGCACGCAUGCCGGGACUGAGAACAUGGAAGACCAGGGAGGCAAGUGAUGGGCUGGAACUUGCAUGCGAGCGCGUCCAAUACCAGCCUCGCCAGCAGCAAGAACAUGAGAGGAGAGUACUCGCGUGUACUCGCGUGUCUGGCCGGAGCGCUGACGUUACAAUAGAUAGAUAGAUAGUAUAAAGCCUCUCAUAACUUGUUCCAUUCACCUAAAGCUAUUAGAUACAUACUGAACUGUCCGGGCAGGAUGGGGACCCUUCCUCCUCCAGGUAUAAGCCCACCACCGAUCACAAUUAGCAUUUUCAUCAGGACUCUGCGCUUUGCGACUUCAAUCCCGUCUGAGAACUAAACUGUGAAAAUUGAUGUGGUGCCGGUAAUGUUCAAUUGUAGAAAACUUUGACAAAGUCUAUUUUUAUUUAAUUUUUUUUAUUUUAUUUUUUUCCUUCUCCCGUUCUAAAUCCCUAAUACUAAACAACAAUGUCACAAUUUAAUGUAAUAUCAUGUCCGAUGCAUAUUCAUGAAAUAAAAAUCUUG